GACGAACGCUGGCGGCGUGCUUAAUACAUGCAAGUCAACGACUUUUAGAGUAGCAAUAUUCUAAAGGAAGUGGCGCACGGGUGAGUAACACGUAGGUAAUCUGCCUUCAGGACUGACACAACUCGUCGAAAGACGGGCUAAUAUCAGAUAAUGCAGCGGCUCCGCAUGGAGACAGUUGUCAAAGUACAAGCGCCUGAAGAUGAGCCUGCGGUCCAUUAGCUAGUUGGUAGAGUAACAGCCUACCAAGGCAACGAUGGAUAGCUGGUCUGAGAGGAUGAUCAGCCACACUGGAACUGAGACACGGUCCAGACUCCUACGGGAGCAGCAGUAAGGAAUAUUGCUCAAUGGCCGAAAGGCUGAAGCAGCAACGCCGCGUGAAGGAUGAAUGGCCUUUGGCCUGUAAACUUCUGUAAAAGGGAAAACAAUCAGGCAUGUCCUGAUUUGAUUGUACCUUGAAGUAAGCCCCGGCUAACUACGUG
rnacentral:rRNA from 1 species